AGGGUUUGAUCAUGGCUCAGGAUGAACGCUAGCUACAGGCUUAACACAUGCAAGUCGAGGGGAAACGGCAUUAAGUGCUUGCACUUUUUGGACGUCGACCGGCGCACGGGUGAGUAACGCGUAUCCAACCUGCCCCUUACCAGGGAAUAACCCGUUGAAAGACGGACUAAUGCCCUAUGCAGUCCUUUGACGGCAUCAGAUUAGGACUAAAGAUUCAUCGGUAUGGGAUGGGGAUGCGUCUGAUUAGCUUGUUGGCGGGGUAACGGCCCACCAAGGCAUCGAUCAGUAGGGGUUCUGAGAGGAAGGUCCCCCACAUAGGAACUGAGACACGGUCCUA
rnacentral:rRNA from 1 species